rnacentral:lncRNA from 1 species
GUCAGAAUGGACAAUGACCCAAACUGUAAUAAUCAUAAUCUCUUUUCAAGAAACUUGAAAUCUGUAAAAAAUCCUAAAAUAGCUUAUUAUAUUGGAAACUAGCUCUAAAUUCACAGUAGAAAUAAUGUCAGAUAAAUAGCAAGCCAGAUUCUGGUAUAAGUUAAAAUUAUUACCAAGUAAAACUAGGACUUUGUAAAGAGAGAGUCUUCUGUGAGUAGAUAACUGAUGAUAUAGCUCCAGAAAGAUAGAGUUUGAGAGACUAGCUGCUAGCCAGAUAUCUACUACAUGUAAAGCCUGUCCUGUCAUUGACAGAAUACUUGGGACAAUAAAGGGAAGUAUACCUUAUUUUGGCUCCAUUGUUUUGUGGUCUGUAUGGAUGCUGGACAUCAUAGUAGAGAGCAUAAUAGAGCAAAGCUACUUACCUAUGGUAGCCAGAAAGUGAGAAAAAAGGAAUGAUCUGGGAUACCAGUAGCCUUAGGUAUGCCCCUAAUGACCCCACUUCUACUAGGCUCCACCUCCUAAAUGGUCCACCACUUCUAAUAGAACCAUCAGCUAUAGACCAAGACUUCAACAGAUGAACCUUUGGGUGACAUUUUAAGAUCCAAAACAUUCCACACAUGGUUCCCAAUUAUUAUUCUCCAUCUCUAAAAUUCCCUAAUGUCUUAGCAAUUCAAACAUUUGCUCAAAAGUCCAAAGUCUCCUCUGAGAGUUUUCAAGGUAAACUCAAUGGUAAGCCCCUCUUAAAAAAAAAAAAAUCAAAACACUUCCAAGAUAAAAUGGUACACAGUAACCAUUCUCAUUCUAAAUGGGGAAGAACAGAGCUAGAGAAAAGAAUGAUAAGGUCAUCCCAAGAUAGAAACUAAGCACAGCAAAUGUUAAAUUCUAAAGUUCCACGUCCAGCAUCUGGAGCAUACAGUGGACUGAUGUGGGCUCCAAAGAGCUUGGGAAGCCCUGCUCCUAUGGCCUUCCAAGCUACAGCCCACAAGGCGUCUCAGCAUGGCUCUGUUCACUGCCUGAAGCAUCCCUCAACAAGUGCUCCACCCAUUCUUGGCUUCUCCUAACUUCCUGGGACCUCCAUCACAGCUUCAGCAUCACAAGUGACCCUGUCAGGAGAUGCUUGCAAGGAUUCUGAUUCUGCCACAAACUUCCUGGCCUCUCCAAGAUUUCUUUGGUCAAAACCUCCAUUGCCCAAACAUGUUGAAUUCUACAUGUUUGCAAAAGUAGUAUCAAGUGGAUGAUGCCAAAGUUUGCUGCUGACCUGAACUAUAUCUGUACUACUUGAAUCAUGGCUCUAGAGACCUGAGUUGCUUGAUAAUUGAAAACUGGAAACGAAUCACAGGGAAACAAUUAUCUAGGUGGCCCUGUGUAAACAGGCCAUCCUGGGACUCUUCUCAAGUAAAUUUCUGUAUGGAGUAUACUCUUGAAUCUUGAAGAUUCCAAACAUGCCCUGAAGGUAUAUUUCCUAUUGUUCUUGUACUAAAUAUUUGGCU